UAAACUGCUCCGCACAUCGCAUGAGUAACAGUUACUCACUGUGGUGCAUCGCUGCAAAUCCGGGAGAAUGUGUGGAAAUUAUGUGUAGGUCAUACUCACGCCGUGAGCUGUUGGCCUGUUACUCAUUUUUGAGCUCCUGGAUUUUGUUGACAAACGCUCCAAAAAGCGAGCGUUUGUCAAUUUUACAACAACAAAAAAAUAAAGAAAAAAUUGUGGUUGUUGUGAUCACCAGAAGUCCCACUAAAAGCACGUUGGUAUACUCGUGAUGGAGAAAUCGCUACCGGUACCGGUAAAAAGCACCUGAUUCAGAACCGCAAUGAGUUGGGUCGAUAGGUUUGUGCUUAAAAUAUUCCUGCUUUAUUAUGUAUAAAAUAAUAAUAAAGUUCAAUUUUACAUUA